rnacentral:misc_RNA from 1 species
UACAGAGAGUGCAAGCGUUAAUCGGAAUUACUGGGCGUAAAGCGCGCGUAGGUGGGUGCUUAAGUCGGAUGUGAAAGCCCUGGGCUUAACCUAGGAAUAGCAUCUGAUACUGGGCAUCUAGAGUGUGGUAGAGGGAAGUGGAAUUUCCGGUGUAGCGGUGAAAUGCGUAGAUAUCGGAAAGAACACCAGUGGCGAAGGCGGCUUCCUGGACCAACACUGACACUGAGGCGCGAAAGCGUGGGGAGCAAACAGG